GAACCGUACAAACGUUAUUCGGGAAUCACUGGGCUUAAAGGGUGCGUAGGCGGCUCGGCAAGUUGGGUGUGAAAAUCCCUCGGGCUCAACCGAGGGAACUGCGCUCAAAACUGCCGAGCUAGAGGGAGACAGAGGUGAGCGGAACUUAGGGUGGAGCGGUGAAAUGCGUUGAUAUCCUAAGGAACACCAGUAGCGAAAGCGGCUCACUGGGUCUCUUCUGACGCUGAGGCACGAAAGCUGGGGGAGCGAACGGGAUUAGAUACCCCGGUAGUCCUAGCUGUAAACGAUGAGCACUGGGUCGGAGAAUCCUCCAUAGUUUUCCGGCCGUAGCGAAAGUGUUAAGUGCUCCGCCUGGGGAGUAUGGUCGCAAAGGCUGA
rnacentral:rRNA from 1 species